CUCUUCUCUUGUCUGCUGCCAUGUGAGACAAGCUUUUAACCUUCUGCCAUGAUUUUGAAGCCUCCCCAGCCACGUGGAACUAUGAAAAAUUUGGAGUCUAGUGAAAAGAAGUGACUUGCUCAAAAUCACACAGCACAUGAAGAACAGAGCCUCUAUGAUGAAUUUCUUGACAGAUCAAGAACUACUUUGGACUUUAUGUCUUAUUACUCAAGGAAGACAUUUCCUAAGCUACAGAGGCCAUAGAUAGUGAUUCCUCUGAUGGAUCUUGGCAAAGUAAGUGGAAAACUUUCUGGAAAGAAUUCACAACUCUAGAUGUCAUUAAGAACAUUUGGGAUUCCUGGGAGGGGAUCAAAAUAUCAUUAACGGGAAUUUGGAAGAAGUUGACUCCAACCCUCAUGGAUGAAAUCGAGGGAUUCAAGACUUCAGUGGAGGAAGUAACUGCAGACAUGGUGGAAAUAGUGAGAGAACUAGAAUUAGAAGUGAAGCCUGAAUAUGUAACUGAAUUGCUGCAAUCUUACGAUGAAAUUUUAAGAGAUAACGAGUUGUUUCUUAUGAAUGAGCAAAGAAAAUGGUUUUUUGAGAUGGAAUCUACUGCUGGUGAAGAUGCUCUAAACAUUGGUGAAAUGACUAUUUAGAAUAUUACAUAAACUUAGUUGAUAACAUGGUGGCAGGGAUUGAGAAGAUUGACUCCAAUUUAGGGAGAGAAUUACUACUGCAGGUAAAAUGCUGUCGGACAGCGUUGCAUGCUACAGAGAAAUCUUUCAUCAGAGGAAAAAUCAAUUGAUGGAGAAAACAUUAUUGUCAUCUUAUUUUAAGAAAUUACCACAGCCACCCCAACCUUCAGCAACCAUCUCUGAUGAGUCAGCAGCCAUCAACAUCAAGGCAAGACCCUCCACCAGCAAAAUGAUUACAACUUGCUAAAUGCUCAGAUUAUUAUUAGCAUAUUUUAGCAAUAAAAUAUUUUUAUUUUUAAGGUAUGUACAUUGUUGUUUUAGACAUAAUGUUAUUGCACACUUAAUAGGCUAUAGUAUAGUAUAAAUGUAACUUUUAUAUGCAUUGGGAAUCCCAAAAAUAGUGUGACUCACUUUAUUGAGACAUUCACUUUAUUGCAAUGGUCUGGAACCAAAACUACAAUAGCUCUGAUCUUUGCCUAUAUAGUAAAAUAAGAAAUUGAUAGAUUUCAGCCUUUUUGUAGCUGUUCUCAGUCAUUUUUGCAAUAUACAGUAUACUUAGAUUGGAGCCAUGGCAUCUUCAGUUGAAAAGAACCUGGUAGCAUCUAGUCCAGGCAUCAUGAAUGGCCAUACCUAUGGAGCCAGGUGGGUGACAUAUAGCAGUAGGAUUGUGGCCAGUGGAAAGUGACUCCUUGUCUAAACGUGGCUACUGCAACUCUCUUCCAGGCAUCGGGUGUCAUGUCAAAAUGAAAGAUUAGUUUUUCAAGGUGUUUUGAGCAGUAUUAGAUCUAUAUGUUAUAUAAAAUCUUCUGACUUUUCAAUGUUGUCAACAUAUCCAGUUUUUUGAAACAAAUAAAUAUGCCAAAACAAAAUGCCAAACAAAACAUGCCUGGGUACUAAAUUCAGUCAUUUUACAGUCUCUUAUUUGGUUAAACCCACUCAUUUUCUUUGGCAGAGAAAAUAAGAAGUAGAAAAACCAAGUGCUUUGUCCAAUCACAGAGUGAGGCAGGG
rnacentral:lncRNA from 1 species